rnacentral:rRNA from 1 species
AUUGAACGCUGGCGGCAGGCCUAACACAUGCAAGUCGAACGGUAACAGGAAACAGCUUGCUGUUUCGCUGACGAGUGGCGGACGGGUGAGUCAUGUCUGGGAAACUGUCUGAUGGAGGGGGACAACUACUGGCAACGGUAGCUACUACCGCAUAACGUCGCAUGACCAAAGAGGGGGACCCUCGGGCCUCUUGUCAUCGGAUGCGCCCAGCUGGGAUUCGCUUGUUGGUGGGGUAACGGCUCGCCAAGGCGACGAUCCCUCGCUCGUCUGAGAGGAUGACCAGCCACACUGGAGGUGAGACACGGACCAGAGGCCUACGAGAGGCAGCAGUGGGGAAUAGGGCACAAUGGGCGCGAGCCUGAUGCAGCCAUGGCGCGUGUAUGAAGAAGGCGUUCGGGUUGGAAAGUACUUUCAGCGGGGAGAAAGGGAGUAAAGUUAAUACCUUUGCUCAUUGACGUUACCCGCAGAAGAAGCACCGGCUAACUCCGUG